GUUGGUGGGGUAAUGGCCUACCAAGGCUAAGACGGCUAGGGGGCGUGAGAGCGCGACCCCCCACAAUGGAACUGAGACACGGUCCAUACUCCUACGGGGAGGCAGCAGUGAGGAAUAUUGCGCAAUGGGGGAAACCCUGACGCAGCAACGCCGCGUGAACGAUGAAGGCCUUCGGGUCGUAAAGUUCUUUUCUAAGGGAAGAUAGUGACGGUACCUUAGGAAUAAGUCCCGGCUAACUACGUGCCAGCAGCCGCGGUAAAACGUAGGGGGCGAGCGUUAUCCGGAUUUAUUGGGCGUAAAGCGCACGUAGGUGGCGCUGUAAGUUAGGCGUGAAAGCUCUCGGCUCAACUGAGAGAGGUCGUUUAAAACUGCAGUGCUUGAGGUUAGAAGAGGAGAGCAGAAUUCCCGGUGUAGUGGUGGAAUGCGUAGAUAUCGGGAGGAAUACCAGUGGCGAAGGCGGCUCUCUAGUCUACACCUGACACUGAGGUGCGAAAGCGUGGGUAGCGAACGGGAUUAGAUACCCCGGUAGUCCACGCUGUAAACGAUGGAUACUAGGUGUAGGGGGGUCAUUUAACCCCUCUGUGCCGAAGCAAACGCGUUAAGUAUCCCGCCUGGGGACUACGGCCGCAAGGUUAAAACUCAAAGGAAUUGACGGGGGCCCGCACAAGCAGCGGAGCGUGUGGUUUAAUUCGAUGAUACGCGAAGAACCUUACCUGGGCUGAACUACGUGGUAGUAGUGAAGCGAAAGCGGAUCGACCCUUCGGGGAGCCUCGAUAGGUGCUGCAUGGCUGUCGUCAGCUCGUGUCGUGAGAUGUUGGGUUAAGUCCCGCAACGAGCGCAACCCUCGUCGCUAGUUACAAGUGUCUAGCGAGACUGCCGGUAUCAAACCGGAGGAAGGUGGGGAUGACGUCAAGUCAGCAUGGUCUUUAUGUCCAGGGCUACACACACGCUACAAUGGUCGGUACAAUAGGUUGCCACACCGCGAGGUGGAGCUAAUCCUCAAAGCCGAUCUCAGUUCGGAUUGUAGUCUGCAACUCGACUACAUGAAGGCGGAGUUGCUAGUAACCGCGCGUCAGCAUACUCGCGGUGAAUGCGUUCCCGGGCCUUGUACACACCGCCCGUCACAUCAUGG
rnacentral:rRNA from 1 species